rnacentral:rRNA from 1 species
UACGUAGGCAGCAAGCGUUGUUCGGAGUUACUGGGCGUAAAGAGUGCGUAGGUGGUGCCCUAAGUCUGUUGUGAAAUCUCCCGGCUUAACUGGGAGGGUGCGGUGGAAACUGGGGUGCUUGAGUGUGGGAGAGGUAGCGGCGAAUUCCUGGUGUAGCGGUGAAAUGCGUAGAUAUCAGGAGGAACACCGGUGGUGUAGACGGCUUACUGGACCACGACUGACACUGAGGCACGAAAGCGUGGGUAGCAAACAGG